rnacentral:piRNA from 1 species
UUUAUGACCUUGUUAUGACCUUCAUCUUGC